CCUACGGGUGGCUGCAGUGGGGAAUAUUGCACAAUGGGCGCAAGCCUGAUGCAGCCAUGCCGCGUGUGUGAAGAAGGCCUUCGGGUUGUAAAGCACUUUCAGCGGGGAGGAAGGCGGUGAGGUUAAUAACCUCAUCGAUUGACGUUACCCGCAGAAGAAGCACCGGCUAACUCCGUGCCAGCAGCCGCGGUAAUACGGAGGGUGCAAGCGUUAAUCGGAAUUAUUGGGCGUAAAGCGCACGCAGGCGGUCUGUCAAGUCGGAUGUGAAAUCCCCGGGCUCAACCUGGGAACUGCAUUCGAAACUGGCAGGCUAGAGUCUUGUAGAGGGGGGUAGAAUUCCAGGUGUAGCGGUGAAAUGCGUAGAGAUCUGGAGGAAUACCGGUGGCGAAGGCGGCCCCCUGGACAAAGACUGACGCUCAGGUGCGAAAGCGUGGGGAGCAAACAGGAUUAGAUACCCCUGUAGUC
rnacentral:rRNA from 1 species